UUUCCUGGAAAGGUUCAGAAAGAGUGGCCUCUGAAGAAUCUCAAGCAUGAUCAUUUUUGUCUUCUGGCCAGAGGAAAUGGCCUGGCCCAGCUCCAGCAGAUUGUUCUGGGAGGAGGCAUUUAGAAGACUUGACCCUGAAUUGAUUCAGCCAAAGUGACCCAGAGGACACCCAGAUGCUUCACAGAAGGCGGAUCAAAUCUGUAUUGAUCUUCAUGACUUACACAGGAAGAGAAAAAAAGUAGUUCUGACAGAGAGCAGGAGAAAUCUUCUAGUACAGGUCAGAACGUGUCUCAAUGACCUCCAGAAAUGAAGAUCAAGGAGACUUAAUACAUCAGGCUCUACAACAGGACACAUAAUGAACUCAAUCUUCCAUAUUCGUGAUCACCCAGUAGUUAAUCACUGUGAAAUAGUUACCCAUGGACACUUUUGCAGUGUUUUCCAUAAGUCCUACACUUGUCUAUCCAUUUUUGUUGGGUGGUCACUUCUACUUGACGGAAACAAGAUCAACAUAUUGUAAUAACUGAAAACAGAUGAGAAAAAUCUAAGAAGAAAAUGGAAGAUACUU